UUACACAAAUAUGAAGGCGGGCUGGAACCUCUCGGGGUUACAGCCUUGCUGAAUUAUUCACCCUUGUCUUUUGCGUACUUCUUGUUUCCUUGGUGGGUUCGCCCACCACUAGGACAAACAUAAACCUUUUGUAAUUGCAAUCAGCGUCAGUAACAAAUUAAUAAUUACAACUUUCAACAACGGAUCUCUUGGUUCUGGCAUCGAUGAAGAACGCAGCGAAAUGCGAUAAGUAGUGUGAAUUGCAGAAUUCAGUGAAUCAUCGAAUCUUUGAACGCACAUUGCGCCCUUUGGUAUUCCAAAGGGCAUGCCUGUUCGAGCGUCAUUUGUACCCUCAAGCUUUGCUUGGUGUUGGGCGUCUUGUCUCUAGCUUUGCUGGAGACUCGCCUUAAAGUAAUUGGCAGCCGGCCUACUGGUUUCGGAGCGCAGCACAAGUCGCACUCUCUAUCAGCAAAGGUCUAGCAUCCAUUAAGCCUUUUUUUCAACUUUUGACCUCGGAUCAGGUAGGGAUACCCGCUGAACUUAAGCAUAUCAAUAAGCGGAGGAAAAGAAACCAACAGGGAUUGCCCUAGUAACGGCGAGUGAAGCGGCAACAGCUCAAAUUUGAAAUCUGGCUCUUUUAGAGUCCGAGUUGUAAUUUGCAGAGGGCGCUUUGGCUUUGGCAGCGGUCCAAGUUCCUUGGAACAGGACGUCACAGAGGGUGAGAAUCCCGUACGUGGUCGCUGGCUAUUGCCGUGUAAAGCCCCU
rnacentral:rRNA from 1 species